ACCAUGUCCUUGGCCCAGGUAUAUCAUACAAUUAACUAUAUAUGUCCCUGGCCCAGGUAUAUCAGAUUGUUAAUUAUGUCCCUGGUCCAGGUAUAUCAGAUUGUUAACUAUGUCCCUGGCCCAGGUAUAUCAGAUUGUUAACUAUGUCCCUGGCCCAGGUAUAUCAGAUUGUUUACUAUGUCCCUGGCCCAGGUAUAUCAGAUUGUUAACUAUGUCCCUGGCCCGGGUAUGUCAGACCAUUAACUAUAUAUGUCCCUAGCCCAGAUAUAUCAGACAAUUAGCUAUGCUAUUAUGUUAAAGGAGUUUGUUUCAUGAGUAAAUUAAUUAUCCCAAAGCCGAUCAUAUUUUAACAAAUAUAAAUAAGUCUAGGAUUGUAUACCCCUAUAUUGUAUCUAGUAACAACAUCUACACAGUAAACUCUUUACUACAGUACAUACUAUACAAACAUAGAAAGGUAUCAAAAAUGUAAAAUACACUGGAUAUAUUGGCACAAAACAUCAAUGUUUUUCUUCUGAAUCUUAAUAGAACAAGUUCAUCAGAAAUCUCAUUCUAAACAGAUGUAAUCUAGCCUUGAUUUGACAUGUGUCCAACGUAAUUCAUGGUGAAUGUUUUUGUAGCUGCUCUACAGAGUAUGUUUCACAGGUGACAAAAGGAUUUUAAAUAAACAACAAGAGUAUAGCAGAGGACAAUGUACCUAUUUUUAUAUGAAAAGCAAAUCACAUAAAAAAGUUAUCAAAUAUAUGUUGAUAGUACUUACUAUACGGAAGAAAUCUGUAUGGUAACAAGGCUUUGGAUGCAUUGUUACAUAAUUAUAUUUCUGUCGAGAAAAAAAAUAUAUCAAUUUCAUUUUACACUGGGUGAAAGUUAUGUAUCACUUUUAGCAGAUUGAUUGAACUGUGAACUGUUUUUUUCACUUUCAAUAAUGUAAUAAUUUCUCAGCAUUUUUAUGGAGGAGUUCAAUCCCAACAUUGAUUUCAAUAAAUGAAGUACAUGUAGAUACAUCAUAUCAUCCAAUCCAUAUUUAUGGUACAUAUAUCUAUAAGCAAAAAUUUAUCUCAAAAUGUCACAUUCUGUAAAUUACAAAUGAUAACAAUAUUGUUAAAAAGGGACCAACAUGAAAUUAUAAAUUACAACCCUGUAAUAACUUUCAGUAUAUCAAUAUUUAUAAGUAAUAAUAGACAAGUUAACAAAAAAAAAAGA